rnacentral:rRNA from 1 species
GACGAACGCUGGCGGCGUGCCUAAUACAUGCAAGUAGAACGCACAGUUUAUACCGUAGCUUGCUACACCAUAGACUGUGAGUUGCGAACGGGUGAGUAACGCGUAGGUAACCUGCCUUGUAGCGGGGGAUAACUAUUGGAAACGAUAGCUAAUACCGCAUAAUAUUAAUUAUUGCAUGAUAAUUAAUUGAAAGGUGCAUUUGCACCACUACCAGAUGGACCUGCGUUGUAUUAGCUAGUAGGUGAGGUAACGGCUGACCUAGGCGACGAUACAUAGCCGACCUGAGAGGGUGAUCGGCCAAACUGGGACUGAGACAAGGCCCAGAAUCCUACGGGAGGGAGCAGGAGGGAAUCUUCGGCAAAGGAGGAAAGGCUGACCGAGCAACGCCGCGUGAGUGAAGAAGGUUUUCGGAUCGUAAAGCUCUGUUGUAAGAGAAGAAAGGGUGUGAGAGUGGAAAGUUCACACUGUGACGGUAUCUUACCAGAAAGGGACGGCUAACUACGUG